UUAGAUCUGAGAAUUUAUUGGAAAAUAAAUUUUUACAAAGAUAAUUGGUAACCCUUAUUUUCCUUCCUCUAAACAUUUAAGUCAGUAUGCUACCUUAACUUUCAUAUGAGCAAAUGGCAGAUUCACUGAAGUUUUUCUCUUCAUGCCAUGCUGGCAGAUCUUACCUAUUAACAGGAUUGCAAAGUUUGGUCUCAUGAAAUCUUUACAAAGCAUUUUAAAAAGUAACACACACUGAUCAAAAGUAAGAUUUAUAUUCCUGAAGCUUACUUGAAAAUAAAAUGUCUGUGGAUAAUAACUUGGAUGCCAUUACUUAGUAAAGUGUGAUCUUUACUUUUAUAAUACAUAUUGUUUUUUGAUUUGAAUAUUUGUAAGUGAAAUUAUAAUUAAGAUUAGUCAAAGGUUCUUCUCUUAUUCAGAAAACUAAAGACUGCUAAAAAUCAUUGACAAAUUUGUGUAAUACAUGUGAAAGCAAAAAGUGAACUCUUGCGAGAAUUUUUACAGUGAUUUUCAAGGAAUUUAUUUCUUUGGAUAGUAAGUAUGACAAAACAUGUUUACAUUUCUUGCAAAGGGAGUUUGUUCAUUUCUGUCUCCAAGAAAGAAAAAAAAAACC
rnacentral:lncRNA from 1 species